rnacentral:rRNA from 1 species
UACGAAGGGUGCAAACGUUGCUCGGAAUUAUUGGGCGUAAAGCGCACGUAGGCGGCUUGGCAAGUCGGAUGUGAAAGCCCACGGCUCAACCAUGGAAGUGCAUCCGAAACUGCUGAGCUUGAGUACUUAAGAGGAUCGCGGAAUUCCCGGUGUAGAGGUGAAAUUCGUAGAUAUCGGGAGGAACACCGGUGGCGAAGGCGGCGACCUGGGUAGAUACUGACGCUGAGGUGCGAAAGCGUGGGGAGCAAACAGGG